rnacentral:rRNA from 1 species
AUUGAACGCUGGCGGAAUGCUUUACACAUGCAAGUCGAACGGCAGCACGGGUGCUUGCACCUGGUGGCGAGUGGCGAACGGGUGAGUAAUACAUCGGAACGUACCCUGACGUGGGGGAUAACGUAGCGAAAGUUACGCUAAUACCGCAUACGUCCUGAGGGAGAAAGCAGGGGAUCGUAAGACCUUGCGCGUUAGGAGCGGCCGAUGGCGGAUUAGCUAGUUGGUAGGGUAAAGGCCUACCAAGGCGACGAUCCGUAGCGGGUCUGAGAGGACGACCCGCCACACUGGAACUGAGACACGGUCCAGACUCCUACGGGAGGCAGCAGUGGGGAAUUUUGGACAAUGGGCGAAAGCCUGAUCCAGCCAUUCCGCGUGAGUGAAGAAGGCCUUCGGGUUGUAAAGCUCUUUCGGCAGGGAAGAAACGGUUUUGGAUAAUACCCAGAACUAAUGACGGUACCUGAAGAAGAAGCACCGGCUAACUACGUGCCAGCCGCCGCCGUAA